GUUUAUUUCUAUUUAAAAAAAAAAUCUUCAUUAAAAACUUGUACCUUAUAAUGGAGCGAUCAGACUUAACAGUACUUAUUGGACACCAACCUUUUCGUUUGGCGAAUGACUACGUACUGCGGAAACGGGUCAUCUUGACAAGAGUCGUCAUCUCGAAUUAUUCAGCGACGAAACAGCAAAAGAAAUUCAUCCAGGCUCAGCAGAGAUGUCCAGGCCACAGGUUUUCAACUUCGGUCAUACUGAGCCCUCUAGCAGUGAUACUGGAUACCAAAGUAGAAGCGACGUUGUGUGGAAAUCAAUCUCGAUUUGAAAUUGGUUUCAACUUCUCAAAGUGUUAAAAACAUAAAAUAAUCAACACUCUCAAUGCCGUGUGGAAUAUCGUCAUCAUACAUCACUGCAUUGCAGGCAAGCCGCAUUAUCGAGUCUCCAGAGAUAUCGAAAAGUUGCCGAGAUAUCGAAAAUCCCCAGAGGACGUAAGAAAAGUCAUUCAAGAUAAAACAGGACCCGUACUAUUAAGACAGGUUUUCAAGGUAGAUGACAGUGAUCUAAAAAAAGACAGGCUACUAUGAACAUCAAGUCACUGGAGUCGGAGGAUGCAUGGACUGGAAAGAUCAGCCAGACUAGUGAAUUUAUCUGUAAUUCACUAACACCAAUAUAUUAGGCCGCCACCUCGAUACCUGCGGCUGACUAGAUUCCCGAGAAAUAUCGACCAAAUUCCGCGUGGAAAUUCAUCAACUGUUGUGAAAGGCAGAAAGAACGGAGCGUUUUGCAGGAUCUGACAGCCUCUUUUCAGCAAGGCCGGCUUCCAAGUGUUUUCCAAAGUGGAUCCUGUCCGUUAGACCGUUACCAAGGGGUGGAUAAAAUCACAGCAUGGAUCUAACGCCCACGUCUUUGACAUCUAGCAGUCUUUAAAGUAAGUCUCGUAUUAUUUUUUAAAUUCUGACCUUCGUGCAGAGUUUCCGUCAUUUACAUUUAAACAUGGCGUUAGUGAGUUAGCGUGGAAAAAUGCACGAAAAAGUCUUUAGUUUAUCAACGGUUAUUACAAGGGCCGUCAUUAAAAUUAUUGUUUAAAUUAUAUCAGUCGUUGCAGACGAAUCCAAAUUUUGCUUUCUGCUUCUUGAAGAAACGUCCAAACUAUUCUAAAGGACUUGAAUGCAGGUGCCAUGUGGGUCUUUUGGGGGUAGGCUCGAUUUUGCACGACGAAUU